AUAUAGUUGACUUACUCUAUAAUAAGGUUCUAGUAUUAUAUUUAGCACGUAAGUGAUUAAGGUGUAGUUUUUUUUUUCCUCUCUUUUGCCUUUCUUAAUCCAUAAUCGUAUUAAGUUGAAUUAAAUUAUCGCUUUUAAUAACUGUAGUAAAUUACACAUCCCUUCUCUAUUCCGUGGUUUAUGUAAGCCUAAUUCAGUAGAUCCUGUGUGGUCUGUGUACUGUUGUCUGACUCCGUCAUUGAUUUUAUCCUGCCUGUUGAGCACAACAUCGUGGUUUGCUACCACAACGUUUUGGCUUUAUCGUAUCCAUCAUCAAAUUCGCCCAAACGUUUGUUGUUCUGAAAUAAAAAAAAAGAGGAAAAUUCUAGAAAUUUUCCCUUUUUUUUUGCUGGAGAAGAGGGAGAAUGUAGCGUUUACUUUACACUACCCCUCAAAAUUUUCUUGGCUACGCCUAUGAUAUAUGGAUCGGUACCAUCGGAUCGAAGCGCCGAUCGUUGACCGUAUCCGAGAAGCAAUUCAGUCUGGGUUCUACGACUGAGCGAACAACAUCGCUUUGAAUUUUAAGGUGGCAUCUGAGUUUAAAUAAAGAACACGUGGAAGCAAAUAAAUUAAUAUGUCCACAGGAAUAUAACAUCAAUAUCAGUUACAGCAACAUUGGAAGUCUUGAGUAAAUACCAAAAAGGAAAUAGCAACAAAUUUAAAUUUAAGUUUCAACCAGUAAUGCCGGUCAUUAUAAAACUCAGAUAGCCACCUUAAUUAUGGGACCAUCUCCUACUUUGGAGUACCCAAUUUUGCAUUGUUUUUGAAAGACAAAACCAUUACUUGAUUCCACAGCUACCAAUAUAGCAACUGUUUUGGCUACUAUCUCACAUCAAUCCAUCAGCUUUGUAUGUGGCAGUUCAUUACCUUCUGAUCGAUGAUCAUCUUAAGAGGACUUCAUUGGACAACAGUGUGUUUUUGAAAAGAUAAGGCUAUAUUUUUUUUAUUGUUACUUAAAUUCCUAAUAACUUUGAUUUUUGUGUACUUUUUGUAAACUGCUCUAUAUCGAUAUAAACCAGGUACAUUUUAUAGUUCUUUGUAAAAUAGGGGGGUUUGUUUUUCUCUUUAAGAGAGUUGUAUUUCAAGUAAAAGGUAAAUAAGUAAUGGUCAAUAAUAAUUCUAAAUAAAUUCAGGCAUAAAAUUUAAUAAGAAAGUAAAUACAUUAUUACAAGGAUUUUCACAUUUAAAUAUUAUUCAAUUUAUAUAUAUAUGUCAUUGAACCCGACUCAUUUCAAUAAAUUUCAGAUAUUUCCCAGCAUCUAUAGUGUAAGCGUAGUUCUUCCAUAUAGAUCUGGUAUGUAAGAUUUGGACACUUGAUAGUCCAGUUAGAUAUUAAGUACUAACAAUAUUAUUAAGACGUUGGCUAUUCUCACGGACUCAAUGCUACAUUUCUACUAAUACCUUUUUGCUUAGCGCAGUAGUGGUUUUUUUUUGUAUUUACUAGUGGCUUUUCGGUCGUAUUUUAUCUCAACACCCUACUGUUUUCAUGGUUUCUAUUUACCUAAUAUGUAAAUAAAGUAUGUAUACUUUUACUUACUUUAUAGAUUUAUUUAACAGAUAUUGUUUAAUAUAAAUAAAUUAUCAAUAUAUUUGUCAUUCAUA
rnacentral:lncRNA from 1 species